UUACCAAGAUCGAUGAGUUUGAUCGUGGCUCAGGACGAACGCUGGCGGCGUGCCUAAUACAUGCAAGUCGAGCGGAUCGAUGGGAGCUUGCUCCCUGAGAUCAGCGGCGGACGGGUGAGUAACACGUGGGUAACCUGCCUGUAAGACUGGGAUAACUCCGGGAAACCGGGGCUAAUACCGGAUAACAUUUUCCUCCGCAUGGAGGAGAAUUGAAAGGUGGCUUCGGCUACCACUUACAGAUGGACCCGCGGCGCAUUAGCUAGUUGGUGAGGUAACGGCUCACCAAGGCGACGAUGCGUAGCCGACCUGAGAGGGUGAUCGGCCACACUGGGACUGAGACACGGCCCAGACUCCUACGGGAGGCAGCAGUAGGGAAUCUUCCGCAAUGGACGAAAGUCUGACGGAGCAACGCCGCGUGAGUGAAGAAGGUUUUCGGAUCGUAAAACUCUGUUGUUAGGGAAGAACAAGUACCGUUCGAAUAGGGCGGUAC
rnacentral:rRNA from 1 species